CCUACGGGAGGCAGCAGUGGGGAAUAUUGGACAAUGGGGGGAACCCUGAUCCAGCGACGCCGCGUGAGUGAAGAAGUAUUUCGGUAUGUAAAGCUCUAUCAGCAGGGAAGAAAGAAAUGACGGUACCUGACCAAGAAGCCCCGGCUAACUACGUGCCAGCAGCCGCGGUAAUACGUAGGGGGCAAGCGUUAUCCGGAAUUACUGGGUGUAAAGGGAGCGUAGACGGUUAAGUAAGUCUGGAGUGAAAGGCCGGGGCCCAACCCCGGGACUGCUCUGGAAACUGCCUGGCUGGAGUACAGGAGAGGUAAGUGGAAUUCCUAGUGUAGCGGUGAAAUGCGUAGAUAUUAGGAGGAACACCAGUGGCGAGGGCGGUUUACUGGACUGUAACUGACGUUGAGGCUCGAAAGCGUGGGGAGCAAACAGGAUUAGAUACCCGUGUAGUC
rnacentral:rRNA from 1 species